UACGGGGGGGGCAAGCGUUGUUCGGAAUUACUGGGCGUAAAGGGCUCGUAGGCGGCCAACUAAGUCAGACGUGAAAUCCCCAGGCUCAACCUGGGAACUGCCUCUGAUACUGGAUGGCUUGAAUCCGGGAGAGGGAUGCAGAAUUCCAGGUGUAGCGGUGAAAUGCGUAGAUAUCUGGAGGAAUACCGGUGGCGAAGGCGGCAUCCUGGACCGGCAUUGACGCUGAGGAGCGAAAGCCAGGGGAGCAAACGGG
rnacentral:rRNA from 1 species